rnacentral:lncRNA from 1 species
GCUUUGAGAUCCGUGCAACUAAGAUGGUAUGCUUUGAGAUUUGAGAAACAAAUAAUUGCAGGGAUUUUAUUAUUUUUGAGAUAAAAAUUAGAUCAUGUGGAAAAAGAGAUGGAACGAGUGGAGAGAAAUUUAGGUGAACUUAGAAAGCACUGGAUUUUGGAGAAGAGUUCUUGAAGUCGACUCCGGAGAAUGGGAAAUUGUAAAAUGAUGUAGUGUCCGUUUAGGCUUUACCUAAUUGAGCUCGACUCGACCUGCAUGCAUUAAGCUUAAUCAAUAAAUAAUCAAAUCAAACUUGAAUUACCUUGGAUAAUUUAUUAAAAUACAAUCAUGAAGGUAAUCCAAUUUUUAGUUAAAUUUACAAAAUAUGUGAAUUAAAAUAAUGAUAAGUGCUAUAAAUAAGAUAUUAAUUUAUGCAUUAUUUAGCACUUAUCACACCCCCCAACCUACAUUUUGCUAGUCCUCGAGUAAAAUAAAAACUAACUCACUUUCGCAGGAAUCGCGAUUGCAUUUACCAUAUGCAAUAAGGCUUUAAACCCCUAGGUGGCCCUAGUGGACGAGUUUUGUCUCGUGAGGGUUUCCGGCUCAGAUACCCACAAACUGUUUGUCUCUACUCAAAGAGUUAUUAUUUUAUAAAAUCUAAUUUCAAAUGCAUAAAUGCCAAGAAUUUCAAAAGCACACAAAGUUUUAAUUACUAAGUCAACCCGAAUCCUAAGUCAGUAUGCAACUUAAGUUGA